AAGAAACCCAUGAUUUCUUCCUGAUCUCAAGACUAGGAUGUUAUCUGUUCACCCUGAUGGGGGAAACUUUCAUCACCAUAAUGACAUCUCAGGGAGAGUGGCCUUUCACCUGUGGAUCACAAAGGACUCUUUCCACAUACUAAGCACUGGGCAAAGAUGCAUCCUGCACUGAAGUUGCUCUUAUUCUGUUGGGAGAGACAGAUAGGUGGAGACAAUUACAAUUCAACAAGAGGAACACUUUGAUGAAGUAAGGUUUGUGAAUGCAGAUUCAAGUCAUACCAUCUCCAGCAACGGCUUAUAUCCUCUUCCUAGUACAGAAGAAGAAAGUAAAGAUUUCACAAAGGGGAAUUUAUGCCUGCUGUUUUAGACAGAAAGGGGGAAGAUAAAGAGCUUUUCCUGCA